AUGCGCGGGCUGUUGGGCUGACUACAUCGGCGUCUCUGUCGAUCUGCUUCUUGAAUAAUAAAUCGCGUGCAGAUCUGCCUUCUUCUGCGCUAUAGGAUGUAAUCGUCUUGGCCGAGGGAAUUUUUCCCUAAAACUUUUCUUUGUCUUCUGUUAGUUAGUCAGCCAACCCAAAUAGCUACGUUUUAGUAUAAUUAUUUUAAUUCUUUUCUUUGUGCUUCCGCGACAUCUCCGCGUCGCGCGUCCUAACUGGCGAUCGCGCAACAUGAAUGGAAUCAUCUGUCAUCACCCUGCUUCGGCAGGGUGCAAGAGAUACCUACCGAUUGAAGAAACACCCCCGUCAUCUGAGAGUCACCCCUCCACAAAUGGUCAUGUUUGAAAGUCAAUUGAGUGAACCCCAACAAAAUUUAUUCUGCUCUUCCCGCCGAAUUUUACCUGGUCGUGAGUUCUGAACGACAAAAUUUCAUUAAUCUUGGUGUGCCAGUGUACAGGGGAGAAGUUUUUGUGAACUAUGUAAAGUUAUAUCUUCAGUAAUUAUGACUCAAGAAGAAUUAACCCUUAUUGGACAUGGUGAUAUUGUAAUUUUUUUGCAUAAGAUUCAAAACCAAGGCAAUAUAUUCUAACUAUUUUUGUAAACAUUUCACUAUGGCUAUAACCUUGUUAAAUUUUCGCUAGAUUCGCGGUCCGGACUCGCUAGCACUAUAAAUUGUGUUCAUGUUUUCUUCAUUAAUGAUUGCUAAGAUGUUAAAAUGCU